AUGGAGGUGCGUAACGUCAAGGACUUCCAGUGGAAGCGCCUGGCGCCGCUGCCCAGCCGCCGGGUCUACUGCUCCCUGCUGGAGAGCGGGGGGCAGGUCUAUGCCAUCGGGGGAUGUGACGACAACGGGAUCCCCAUGGACUGCUUUGAGGUCUACUCCCCCGAGGCCGACCAGUGGACCGCCCUGCCCCCCCUGCCCACAGCCCGGGCCGGGGUGGCCGCCAUCGCCCUGGGGAAGCGGAUCAUGGUGAUCGGGGGUGUGGGCGCCAGUCAGCUGCCCCUGAAGGUCGUGGAGAUGUACAACAUCGAUGAGGGCAAGUGGAAGAAGAGGAGCGUGCUGCGCGAGGCCGCCAUGGGCAUUUCUGUCACGGCCAAAGAUUACCGAGUGUACGCGGCAGGCGGGAUGGGCCUAGACCUCCGUCCGCACAACCACCUCCAACACUAUGACAUGCUCAAGGAUAUGUGGGUGUCACUAGCACCCAUGCCCACCCCGAGAUAUGCUGCCACCUCCUUCCUCCAAGGCUCCAAGAUCUAUGUGCUGGGGGGACGACAGUCCAAGUAUGCAGUCAAUGCCUUUGAGGUCUUUGACAUCGAGACUCGCUCUUGGACCAAGUUCCCCAACAUUCCCUGCAAGCGGGCCUUCUCCAGCUUUGUGACCCUGGAUGACCGCCUCUACAGCCUGGGGGGCCUGAGGCAGGGUCGGCUCUACCGGCAGCCCAAGUUCCUCCGGACCAUGGACGUGUUCGACAUGGAACAGGGGGGCUGGCUGAAGAUGGAACGCUCGUUCUUCCUCAAGAAGCGGCGGGCAGACUUUGUGGCCGGCUCUCUGAGCGGACGGGUCAUAGUCGCUGGAGGACUCGGGAACCAACCCACGGUCCUGGAGACGGCAGAGGCGUUCCACCCAGGGAAGAACAAGUGGGAGGUCCUCCCCACCAUGCCCACACCCCGCUGUGCCUGCUCCAGCGUUGUCAUCAAGAACUGCCUCCUGGCUGUAGGGGGCGUCAACCAGGGUCUGAGCAAUGCGGUGGAAGCACUGUGUGUCUCCGACUGCUAGCUGUCCCUGGGCCCAGCACCUUUGCCCCGGACCAGAUCGCUCCACUCUUGGGCAGUUUGGGUGACUCCCCAGGAUGCUGGGUCCUGUCAGCAGCUAGUGGGGUCAGGCCCUGGGGCUCUGAGGGACCUCCCUCCACCUCCAAACCGUACCAAUCCCAGGAAACCGCAAGAAGACGCGCUGACUCCGCCAGCCUCCAGCUGGAGCCCAGCAGAGCUCUGAAGAGACUCCUCCCUUAGUGCUCAGGCAGAGGAAGGCCCAGGAGUACCUGCUACCUCCCCUUCUGAACAAGAGCAAGGAUCAUGCCAUCUGAAGGUGCCAAAGCCCUCACUUCAUCGGAAGACUGGACACCCGAGGUGACACCUCGAGUUGCUCCCCUAUCCAGAUCCAGCGUCUCCAUCUAUGGGAGAAGGGGACUUGACUGGAGCCACCCUUCCAGAUGGGUCUCUGUUCACCUCAGACUUCCACAUCCAACACCUGUGGGAAGCAGGCUCAGCCCUGGUGACAAACGAACAGCCCACCUUCGUUCUUCUCACCCACAUCGCCCUCAGGCUGGCCCCUCCCCGAUUCCCAUGGCCACCACCUGGGUUCGCACCCUCAUCCUCCUUCCUGCCACAUGACGGCCUCCCCACAAUGCUACCCCCCCAGCCCUGUCCUCCAGCCCCCCCUUUCGCAUCGCUGUUAGGGCUCCUGCGCUGGGGAAAUCUUUCUCAUCUCCGAAUCCAACUGUCCUUGCAGAGCUUAGCAUCCCCAGCAGCUCGCCCUACCCUUCAGGUGAUUCCCAGCCUCAGUCUGGGCCUCUGAGGCCCUUGGCACAGGUCCCGCCUCCCCGCCUCCCCUCCUUGCCUCUGCCCAGGGUUCCUGCCCCUUGUGUACCUGGUGAAUGCAGCCAGCGCCCCCACACAUCACCCCCAGACACUAAACUUUGUAGGUUCUCCUUGGGACCAUGACAGUGCCAUUCGCCCUUGGAGGCUCAGAGCAUCACAGAGGGCUGGGCACGCAGUGUCUAAAUGUGUAACAAAUAACUGAUGGAAUAAAUGUGUAGCAAACAACUGAGUUGAAUGAAGCCAGAAAUCAAGGAGCCAAGAGACAGCAGUAACAUUGAGAGUAACCUUUACAAUGGCCCCUCUUCCUCGGCUUCCGUCUACAGCCUGUGGCUGGCACAAAGCAUCAGAUUCAGGAAAUCAGCAGUAUUUCAAAUCCCCUCGCUUAGGGAUCGGGUCCCGUCUCCCUUUGCAGCAGGCUCUGACGGGAGUUGUAGAUCAGGAUCGGGCUUCUCAUAAGCUGUGGGGGACAAGCCAGCCUAUUAAUCCGGGCUUGUGAUAACAACCCCCAGCACCAGAUUGUGCUGGUGUCAUUCGGGGCCAAGAGAAAUGCUGGCUCCUGCCUUCCCUUACCAAGGGUCAGGAGCUGGUGACCGGCUCAAGAAUGUGCUUUGUUUGGGGUUUACAUUCCAGGAGCAGCUUGGGAGGCCAAGGGCUCAGGUUGCCAGUGGGAGCCAGACACGGGGUAGGGAGGUGGCACCGGGCAGACCUUCCCCCCUCCUCCCUCCCGGGCACACCUCCUAGCCCCGCCCUGCCUGGUCCUCUCCGGACCACCCUCACAAGGGCCGGGGUGGGGUGGGGGCGGCUGUGGACGCAGGGCCAGGAGGAAGAACACACUCAGCCCCUUCAAGGGAGCGGCAUUUAAGUGGAGUAUGGAGUACUAAGCUCUGAGCCACCACCAUAAGUGCCCCGCUGCUGAGGAGCCUUUAACAGUGUACAAAGAGCUUCUGUGUUCAGGGUCUCUUUUGACCAAUUACAAACUGAGAUGUAGGGAAACUGAAUCAUCUGCCCCAG